rnacentral:rRNA from 1 species
AGCAGCCGCGGUAAUUCCAGCUCCAAUAGCGUAUAUUAAAGUUGUUGCAGUUAAAAAGCUCGUAGUUGAACUUCGAGAUCAAUUUGUCGGUCGUGCCUCGGUACGUACUGGCAUUAUUGAUUUCUCCCUUCUGAAGAACCGCGAUGUCAUUAAUUUGGUGUCGUGGGGAAUCAGGACUGUUACUUUGAAAAAAUUAGAGUGUUUAAAGCAGGCGCACGCUUGAAUACAUUAGCAUGGAAUAAUGAAAUAGGACGUUUGAUUCUAUUUUGUUGGUUUCUAGGAUCGACGUAAUGAUUAAUAGGGAUAGUUGGGGGCAUUAGUAUUCAAUUGUCAGAGGUGAAAUUCUUGGAUUUAUUGAAGACUAACUACUGCGAAAGCAUUUGCCAAGGAUGUUUUCAUUAAUCAAGAACGAAAGUUAGGGGAUCGAAGACGAUCAGAUACCGUCGUAGU